rnacentral:tRNA from 1 species
CUGGGCGUAGCUCAAUCAGGCUAGAGCGCCGGCCUUGGAAGCCGGAGACCGUCGGUUCGAGUCCGACCGCCCAGACCA